UCCCUAGUGGCUCAGAUGGAAAAGCGUCUGUCUGCAAAGCAGGAGACUCGGGUUCAAUCCCUGAGUUGGGAA
rfam:TPA: Bos taurus chromosome 10, whole genome shotgun sequence.